GCCUACGGGAGGCAGCAGUGAGGAAUAUUGGUCAAUGGUCGGGAGACUGAACCAGCCAAGCCGCGUGAGGGAUGAAGGUACAGAGUAUCGUAAACCUCUUUUGUCAGGGAACAAAGGCGGGGACGUGUCCCCGGAUGAGUGUACCUGAAGAAAAAGCAUCGGCUAACUCCGUGCCAGCAGCCGCGGUAAUACGGAGGAUGCGAGCGUUAUCCGGAUUUAUUGGGUUUAAAGGGUGCGCAGGCGGUCUGUUAAGUCAGCGGUCAAAUGCCGGGGCUCAACCCCGGCCCGCCGUUGAAACUGGCAGG
rnacentral:rRNA from 1 species